rnacentral:tRNA from 1 species
GCCUGGCUGGCUCAACUGAUAGAGCAUGUGACUCUUGAUCUCAGAGCUGUGAGUUCGAGCCUCACCUUCGGUG